UGCAUGGGACAGCCCCAGACAUAGCGGGCAAGGACAUGGCCAACCCCACUGCCCUCCUGCUCAGUGCUGUGAUGAUGCUGCGCCAUAUGAGGCUUUUUGACCAGGCUGAGAGAAUUGAGGCUGCGUGUUUUGCUACAAUUAAAGAUGGAAAGACCUUAACAAAAGACUUGGGAGGCAAAGCCAAAUGUUCAGAGUUCACAGAUGAGAUCUGUCGCCGAGUGAAGGAUUCGGAUUAAAGCCCCUGCACGUGGUCUUGGCUGAUGGACACAUGAACCUCUCGAUCACCUGCCAUUCUGUCUGCAUUCGGUUUGCUUGUUUCUUGACAGUACAUUUUCUGAUCUGGCCUUUUCUUAACAAAAUCCACCUGGAGGCUGCAGGCGAUGUGUAUAGCCCUGCUUUCAAAGGACUUUUCCAAAUGCUUGUUCUAUUUAUUACAUGUCUAUUUGGGAAACAUUUUUUUAGUAAACCGGAAGUGGACUGUGUCAUUUGCGGUUGUUAACCAUUUUACACUUCAGUUCAAAUCAAUUUUCCUCAGCUGUAAAUAUGAGAUAAAUUCCUUAAAAAACACCUAUCUUUUUAAGAGACAACAACAACAAAAAGUUGCCGUUUUCCUUGGCUGAUGAAAAUCAUAAUGGAAAUAAAGUCAUGGCACAAAAUAACAUUCUUAGAAAACUCAAAGGGGCACCAGAAAAAUUCCUAGGGAAACCGCAAACCUGAACCUUUUUCUUAGUAAUGCGGUCAGUGAAGAAAGAUUUGUCCUUUCCAUGAAUUACUAUGAAUAAAAACUUCAGAUCCAAGAACUAUAGAAAGGAGCGCUAUAACUUUUGUUAAUGAGAUAUAGGUAAUAUAUUGCGUACAAGGCGCCAGAUGUAUUUUGUAUUCAAUUAUUUUGUUCCCUGGAGAUGAAAUAUUCUUGGCAAGAACUCUUGAUGAAGUAAAGAGGGGUCAUGUCCUCUGACUGGACACAAAUUGUCACAGCCUCUGAGUUCCUGUGCUGUAUCCAUUCCCCCUCUCCACCGUGGAGAUGGGCGAGCCAGCUGUCCUGCCACCUGCGGCCUGCUUAGCCCAAUCACCAGUGUUUUGGUUGUGGUUAAGGUACACAGGGCUGCUGGCUGUGGAUUUUUAAUUUCCAUGACUGCCUCCUCCUCCCCCCCGCUUUUCUCCCCACUACUGCUUUAGCAAUACCAGUAAAAGACGCCACGGCAGAGGCCGAACAUGCGUGGCUUGAGCUGAUUCUCACAGUCAAUCCACGUGGGGCCUGAGGUCAUCAAUGGUGACCCUUUUCUAUGACCUUUGUCUCCAAACCAGAGGCCAUGUGGGUUCUCCCUUAAGCCUUGUGUGGGUCUGCACACCUCUCGUUCUGCCCGUGUGCCCAGGUCACUGGGACAUUUCCCGGCUAAUUUUUUUUUUUUAAGCUUAUACCCAGGCUUACAAUCUCAUUUGUAUCCUACUUUGUUUAUGCUGCUGCUUUGCCUCUCUGGAUUGUGCUCAUCGUCAGUGGUUCUCAGGCUCAUGGAAAUUAAUAAAUAAAGAAUUUCCAAAUAGA